CGGACGGGUGAGUAACACGUGGAUAACCUACCUGUAAGACUGGGAUAACUUCGGGAAACCGGAGCUAAUACCGGAUAAUAUUUUGAACCGCAUGGUUCAAAAGUGAAAGACGGUCUUGCUGUCACUUAUAGAUGGAUCCGCGCUGCAUUAGCUAGUUGGUAAGGUAACGGCUUACCAAGGCAACGAUGCAUAGCCGACCUGAGAGGGUGAUCGGCCACACUGGAACUGAGACACGGUCCAG
rnacentral:rRNA from 1 species